GCGAGUCGAACGAUGAAGGUGGGAGCUUGCUUCUACCGGAUUAGUGGCGAACGGGUGAGUAACACGUGAGCAAUCUGCCCCUGACUCUGGGAUAACUCCGAGAAAUCGGUGCUAAUACCGGAUACGAACUGAGACCGCAUGGUCAUCAGUUGGAAAGAACUUCGGUCAGGGAUGAGCUCGCGGCCUAUCAGCUAGUUGGUGAGGUAAUGGCUCACCAAGGCGACGACGGGUAGCCGGCCUGAGAGGGUGACCGGCCACACUGGGACUGAGACACGGCCCAGACUCCUACGGGAGGCAGCAGUGGGGAAUAUUGCACAAUGGGCGCAAGCCUGAUGCAGCAACGCCGCGUGAGGGACGAAGGCCUUCGGGUUGUAAACCUCUUUUAGCAGGGAAGAAGCGAAAGUGACGGUACCUGCAGAAAAAGCACCGGCUAACUACGUGCCAGCAGCCGCGGUAAUACGUAGGGUGCAAGCGUUGUCCGGAAUUAUUGGGCGUAAAGAGCUCGUAGGCGGUUUGUCGCGUCUGCUGUGAAAAUCCGAGGCUCAACCUCGGACCUGCAGUGGGUACGGGCAAACUAGAGUGCGGUAGGGGAGAUUGGAAUUCCUGGUGUAGCGGUGGAAUGCGCAGAUAUCAGGAGGAACACCAAUGGCGAAGGCAGAUCUCUGGGCCGUAACUGACGCUGAGGAGCGAAAGCGUGGGGAGCGAACAGGAUUAGAUACCCUGGUAGUCCACGCCGUAAACGGUGGGAACUAGAUGUGGGGUCCGUUCCACGGAUUCCGUGUCGCAGCUAACGCAUUAAGUUCCCCGCCUGGGG
rnacentral:rRNA from 1 species